rnacentral:rRNA from 1 species
UACGUAGGGGCCAGCGUUGUCCGGAAUCAUUGGGCGUAAAGCGCGCGUAGGCGGUCAGGUAAGUCCGGUGUGAAAGUCAAAGGCUCAACCUUUGAAUGCCGCUGGAUACUGCUUGACUUGAGUCCGGAAGGGGCGAGUGGAAUUCCUGGUGUAGCGGUGAAAUGCGCAGAUAUCAGGAGGAACACCAAUGGCGAAGGCAGCUCGCUGGAACGGUACUGACGCUGAGGCGCGAAAGCGUGGGGAGCGAACAGG